rnacentral:rRNA from 1 species
GACGAACGCUGGCGGCGUGCUUAACACAUGCAAGUCGUGCGGAAACACUUCGGGUGUCGAGCGGCGGACGGGUGAGUAACACGUUAGUAUCUACCCCAAACUGAGGGAUAAGCCCGAGAAAUCGGGUCUAAUACCGCAUAUGGUCUUUGGAUUAAAGCCUUCGGGCGGUUUGGGAGGAGCUUGCGUCUGAUUAGCUAGUUGGUAAGGUAAUGGCUUACCAAGGCUACGAUCAGUAGCUGGUCGGAGAGGAUGAUCAGUCACCACUGGAACUGAGACACGGUCCAGACUCCUACGGGAGGCAGCAGUAGGGAAUUUUCCACAAUGGGCGAAAGCCUGAUGGAGCAAUGCCGCGUGCAGGAUGAAUGCCUUCGGGUUGUAAACUGCUUUUAUGAGGGAAGAUUAUGACGGUACCUCAUGAAUAAGCCUCGGCUAACUCCGUGCCAGCCGCCGCCGUAA